rnacentral:rRNA from 1 species
CACGUAGGGUGCAAGCGUUGUCCGGAUUUAUUGGGCGUAAAGGGCUAGUAGGCGGCUUAGCAAGUCGGGUGUGAAAACUUCAGGCUCAACCUGGAGAUGCCAUCCGAUACUGCUAUGGCUUGAGUCCGGUAGGGGACCACGGAAUUCCGGGUGUAGCGGUGAAAUGCGUAGAUAUCCGGAGGAACACCGAUGGCGAAAGCAGCUUUCUGGCCCGAUACUGACGCUCAUGCCCGAAAGCGUGGGGAGCGAACAGG